rnacentral:lncRNA from 1 species
AUGUUCCUUCUCAUACUGGAACAUACCCUGGCAAAUAGGUUGCAUACAGUACAAUUUGCUCACCCUGGAAGUAGAACCUUGAAGUCUGUAAAGACAGUAAGGCUAAAUGAGGGUGCUGGCAGCAAGGGACGUGUCCAGCUACCUGCCUUCUCCUGCUUGCUGAGAACAGUCUCCAGAAGAAUCGUGAGUUUUUAUUUAUUCAGUCUUCUGUUGUCCAUCUUGCCUCAUUUGUGGGACAGAUGAGCAUGAAAAGAUCCAAACUCAGUGCUCAGUCCUCAGUGAAAAAACAUCAUUAACAUCAUUCACCUUCCACAGCUCAGCUCCAGCUGCUCCACACCAUAUCCUUUAUUAGAUAUUUAUAUGAAUAGUAAUAUCCGCAGUUAGACUGGCUAGGAUUGCAGCAGAAAAGGAAAUUAACCCUCCUGCUUCAGGGCACAAAGUGAUUCAGAAAGGGCAGGUUUGCCAGCCCUGCGGGAGAGAGUCUGUAUAACUUUCUCCACAGCAUCCAGCACUGCCGGCACCUCUUUCUAGGACCUUCCUUCUUCCUGUCUUUUGGGAUUUUUGCUGCAGCCAACUUUCCUUCACCCAUUCACCCUGUGCAAACCUUUCCCCAACUGCAGGUAGCUUUAUCUCUCCCCUGUUCAUCUUGUUUGUUUUUCUCAGUUCUCCCUUGAUACUUUUUACAGUGACAAUUUUUGACCUUCCUGCCUCUUCCCUGCUGUGCCCUUCUCCUUUUCCUCAGCUGUCCUCACCAUCCUUUCUGCCUUUUUCUGUUCCCUCUCUCUCUCUUCUCCAAUCACAGGGUUUAGGGGCCAGGAGAGGUGUAAUUGCAGAAAUCAGGCAGUUUCCAGCCCUGGUGAGCAGGUGGAGUCAGUGCUGCAUCUGCUGGAGCUGAGCCACCUCCACCCAGCAGCACUCACUGUCUGAAGGAAGGAUUUGGGGGUCUCCCCACACAGCUCACGAUCCUCUUCUUGCACCCUGAAAGGGAUGAGCAUGAUGCUGUGGCUUUCCCAAACCCUGGGUCCCACCAACAAGACCUUGCAGGGCCUUCUCCUUGCCCACAGCCCCACGCCGAGGUGUGGCCCACUGUGCUGGUAUCAGUUUCCUCGUUAUCAGGGCUGCCUCCUUUCCGCCUACUAAGGCUGGGUUAUGAAAUGUGUCCCUGUUUGACUCCGAACACCGAGUAACAGAGGUGUGAAGAUUUCUGCAGCAUGCCCACCUCUGCUUUUCCAGUGGUGCAGUA